rnacentral:piRNA from 1 species
UGAGAAAGAGUGAAUACAAUAAAUAUGGA